AUUUAUUAUCAGAACCACAACUUUCACCUUCAAAUGACAUAACAUUAAUUUUUGAUAUAACAUAAAGAAAAUCAUUGUUCAACAUUAUUAAAAACAAUAUCUUAUAAGGAUGGUUUAUAGUGCUUUUUGGUGUGUAACUUAAUAUGGUUAUGUCAAAACUUUUCUUCAAUGUAAUAUGAUAUUCACAAUGGAACAGAUAAAAUUUAAGAUUGGUACAGAUUAUCAAUUCUGUAGUAAUCACAAAAGACAUGAUAUCAUAUACAGUAUUUCAAAUUCCUGACAAAUCAUUUUGAGUGCUCCCAAUUUUCCAUGAUGUUGUAUAAUUGUGAAUUAUUUAAAGACAAGGAGGACAUAUGAAUGGCAUCAAAUACAAGUUAAAUGUUGUUAUAAAUAUCUUAACAAAUUUCUGACUUGUGUUACAAUCCUUAUAUGUGAUACAGUUUUAUUGCUGGUUUUCAAAUCAGGAUGAAAAUCAUUCAUAAUAGAAACACAAAUAAUACCAAUAUAUAAAUAUGUGUAUCAAGUUCACAUGUGUAGUUUUCAAAAGAAUUAUAAGACCAUGAUGACAUCACUUCUAAACUGGUUUCAUUUGGAGAACAAACUGAGCUGUAUCAAUGGAAUAACUUGUAAUGUUGUUAGAUCUGCUAACACAGCCU
rnacentral:lncRNA from 1 species